rnacentral:rRNA from 1 species
UCGAUUUGGAGUUUGUUGCCUAGAGUGAUGGGCUCCGAAGCUAACGCGAUAAAUCGACCGCCUGGGGAGUACGGCCGCAAGGUUAAAACUCAAAUGAAUUGACGGGGGCCCGCACAAGCGGUGGAGCAUGUGGUUUAAUUCGAUGCAACGCGAAGAACCUUACCUGGUCUUGACAUCCACAGAAUCUUGCAGAGAUGCGAGAGUGCCUUCGGGAACUGUGAGACAGGUGCUGCAUGGCUGUCGUCAGCUCGUGUUGUGAAAUGUUGGGUUAAGUCCCGCAACGAGCGCAACCCUUAUCCUUUGUUGCCAGCGGUUCGGCCGGGAACUCAAAGGAGACUGCCGUUGAUAAAGCGGAGGAAGGUGGGGACGACGUCAAGUCAUCAUGGCCCUUACGACCAGGGCUACACACGUGCUACAAUGGCGUAUACAAAGGGAGGCGACCUCGCGAGAGCAAGCGGACCUCAUAAAGUACGUCUAAGUCCGGAUUGGAGUCUGCAACUCGACUCCAUGAAGUCGGAAUCGCUAGUAAUCGUGAAUCAGAAUGUCACGGUGAAUACGUUCCCGGGCCU